rnacentral:rRNA from 1 species
CCUACGGGCGGUAGCAGUGAGGAAUAUUGGUCAAUGGGCGCAAGCCUGAACCAGCCAAGUAGCGUGAAGGAUAGCUGCCCUACGGGUUGUAAACUUCUUUUAUAAAGGGAUAAAGUGAGACACGGGUGCCUUUUUGUAUUUACUUUCUGAAUAAGGCUCGACUAACUCCGUGCCAGCAGCCUCGGUAAUACGGAGGAUCCGAGCGUUAUCCGUAUUGAUGGGGUUGAAAGGGAGCGUAGAUGGGUUGUUAGGUCAUGUGUGAAAGUUUGCGGCCCAACCGUAAAAUUGCAAGUGAUACUGGCAGUCUUGAGUACAGAUGAGGUAGGCGGAAUUCGUGGUGUAGCGGUGAAAUGCUUAGAUAUCACGAAGAACUCCGAUUGCGAAGGCAGCUUACUAAACUGCCACUGACAUUGAUGCUCGAAAGUGUGGGUAUCAAACAGGAUUAGAUACCCGUGUAGUC